AUGUUAGUUUUAUUAAUAAUAGAAAAAAAAAGUUUUAUAACUUAUGAUCCUAAUUUUUACAAAGAAACCUCAUAUAAUAUGGUAUAUGUUGGUGAUGUGGAAAAUGAUGAUAUGAAAAAUGAUGAUAUGAAAAAUGAUGAUGUGAAAAACUUAAAAAAUUAUACAGAUAAUUAUAUGAAAUAUUUAGGUAUAAAACAAAUUUCAUAUGUACCAAAUGGUAGUAAUAAUAAUAAUAAUAAUAGUAUUAUUCAAAAUGGAUAUCAGCCAUAUAUAGAGAAAAAAACAUUAAAUGAAUACAAUUAUAAUAUGAAUAAAUUUAAUAAUAAUAACAACAAUAAUAACAAUAAUAAUAAUAUUAUACCUCCCAAACAACACAAUGAGUUUGUUGCUACAAAUAAUAAUGUAACAUUAAAUACAAACAAAAGUACUUAUCCAAAAGUAAAAAAAUAUCCAAAUAAUAUCAAUCAAAUAAAUGAAAAUAAUUUAUUAUAUAAUUAUAAUUCGGAUGUACAAAAUAAACAAGUAUAUAAUAAUACCAAUCGAAUGUUACCUAACAUAUAUCAUAAAAAUAAAAAUGUAGACAGAAAAAUCCCUAUUGCAUAUCGUGAUGAUUUCGAUUCAAAAACAAAAGGCUGUUGUUUUAAUAUAAGUCCAUAUAUAUAUCCAAAUAAUAAUUAUAAUAAAAAUAAUAACGUUGGUAAUUCAUUAACGUAUGGAAAUUAUGUAGAUGAAUAUCCUUAUAUGAAUGAUUUUAAUAAUUUUUAUGCAACUCCACCAUAUGUUUAUUUAAUGAAAGAAAAUGAAAAUGGAUGUUCUUUUAUAAAACAAAAAACAAAUUGUAUAUUAAAUGGAUGUAAAUCAAGUAAACCUAAAUAUGAAUAUAUUAUUAAACAGAGACCACCUAUUUAUACAAAUAUGCCUUUUAAUCAAGAUAAUAAAAGGUUUAAUAUAUUUAAAAAAUUAACACUAGCAUUAGGAACAUAUUUAGAUGAUAUUGUAAAUACAAUGAUGGAUAUGUGUGAAGUUUCAUAUAAAAAUAUAGUAAAAAAUAAUAAUACUAAUUUAUAUGAUUUACAUCCUUUUUAUAAUCCGGACCCAAAUUAUACAAGAACUGAAAGACCUACAAUGAAAACAGGAAGCGAUUUAAUUGAUAAAAUAAAUUGUGCUUUAGAUAGUACUACAUUAGAGAAACAUAAAAAUUUGCCAGAAGAUUUUAAAAAAAUAGUUAUUCCAGAUACUGAAAAAACAGGGAUUAAAUUAAUUGAUGGUUUUAAUAAUGUGUUGGAUAAUGUUUUAAAUGAUCCAAUGUCAUAUAAUAAAUAUGAAUAUUAUAAGGAUAAAAAUAUGAACAUUAAUAAAAUGAAGCAAGAGAAACUGUAA
rnacentral:lncRNA from 1 species